UGCUGCUAUGUAGCGGGAGGAGAGAGGGACAGAGAGCCUGCUUACUUUAAAGGAGCCAACCGGACAGGAGCCGCUUACACUCGUGUAAGCGGCUCCUCUCCUCUCCCGCUUUGCUCCUUUAAAGAAGCAGGCUCUCUGUCCCUCUCUCCUCCCCACUCAGCGGC